rnacentral:misc_RNA from 1 species
UCCCGGUUGCUCCGGGCAGUCUCGUGUGAAAAAUUCAACACACGACGAGGGUUGCGCUCGUUGCGGGACUUAACCCAACACCUCACGGCACGAGCUGACGACAGCCAUGCAGCACCUGUGCAGAUGUCCCGAAGGAGGUCCCUCGUUUCAGAAGGAUUUCAUCUGCAUGUCAAGCCUAGGUAAGGUUCUUCGCGUUGCGUCGAAUUAAACCACAUGCUCCACCGCUUGUGCGGGCCCCCGUCAAUUCCUUUGAGUUUCAACCUUGCGGUCGUACUCCCCAGGCGGGGUACUUCCUGCGUUAGCGCCGGCACCCAGAGGGUCGCUCCCCCAGGCACCUAGUACCCAUCGUUUACGGCGUGGACUAC